rnacentral:rRNA from 1 species
GAUGAACGCUGGCGGCGUGCCUAAUACAUGCAAGUCGAGCGAACAGACGAGGAGCUUGCUCUUCUGACGUUAGCGGCGGACGGGUGAGUAACACGUGGAUAACCUACCUAUAAGACUGGGAUAACUUCGGGAAACCGAAGCUAAUACCGGAUAAUAUAUUGAACCGCAUGGUUCAAUAGUGAAAGACGGUUUUGCUGUCACUUAUAGAUGGAUCCGCGCCGCAUUAGCUAGUUGGUAAGGUAACGGCUUACCAAGGCAACGAUGCGUAGCCGACCUGAGAGGGGGAUCGGCCACCCUGGAACUGGGACACGGUCCAGACUCCUAAGGGAGGCAGCAGUAGGGAAUCUUCCGCAAUGGGCGAAAGCCUGACGGAGCAACGCCGCGUGAGUGAUGAAGGUCUUCGGAUCGUAAAACUCUGUUAUUAGGGAAGAACAAAUGUGUAAGUAACUAUGCACGUCUUGACGGUACCUAAUCAGAAAGCCACGGCUAACUACGUG